UACGUAGGGUGCGAGCGUUGUCCGGAAUUAUUGGGCGUAAAGGGCUCGUAGGCGGUCUGUUGCGUCGGUAGUGAAAACUCAGGGCUCAACCCUGAGCGUGCUUCCGAUACGGGCAGACUAGAGGUAUGCAGGGGAGAACGGAAUUCCUGGUGUAGCGGUGGAAUGCGCAGAUAUCAGGAGGAACACCGGUGGCGAAGGCGGUUCUCUGGGCAUUACCUGACGCUGAGGAGCGAAAGCAUGGGGAGCGAACAGG
rnacentral:rRNA from 1 species